UACAGGGGGUGCGAGCGUUAAUCGGAUUUACUGGGCGUAAAGGGCGCGUAGGUGGUAAAGCAAGUAAGAUGUGAAAGCCCUGGGCUUAACCUGGGAAGUGCAUCUUAAACUGCUUAACUAGAGUACGAUAGAGGGUAGUGGAAUUUCCGGUGUAGCGGUGAAAUGCGUAGAUAUCGGAAGGAACGCCAGUGGUGAAGACGACUACCUGGAUCGAUACUGACACUGAGGCGCGAAAGCGUGGGGAUCAAACAGG
rnacentral:rRNA from 1 species